GGCCCUAUAACUCAGUUGGUAUAGAGCAUUGGGCUAGUAUCCCAAAGGUCGCGGGUUCGAUUCCCACCGUGGUCA